UACGUAGGGGGCAAGCGUUGUCCGGAAUCAUUGGGCGUAAAGAGCGUGUAGGCGGCCCGGUAAGUCCGUUGUGAAAGUCCAUGGCUCAACCCUGGAAUGCCGAUGGAUACUGCCGGGCUAGAGUUCGGAAGAGGCGAGUGGAAUUCCUGGUGUAGCGGUGGAAUGCGCAGAUAUCAGGAGGAACACCUAUAGCGAAGGCAGCUCGCUGGGACGACACUGACGCUGAGACGCGAAAGCGUGGGGAGCGAACAGG
rnacentral:rRNA from 1 species